UUGAGAAAUAUUGCGCAAUGGAGGCAACUCUGACGCAGCCAUGCCGCGUGCAGGAAGAAGGCGCUACGCGUUGUAAACUGCUUUUAACCGGGAAGAAACCCCAGGACGUGUCCUGGGUUGACGGUACCGGAGGAAUAAGCACCGGCUAACUUCGUGCCAGCAGCCGCGGUAAUACGAAGGGUGCAAGCGUUAUCCGGAUUCAUUGGGUUUAAAGGGUGCGUAGGCGGAGCGUUAAGUCAGUGGUGAAAUCCUGCAGCUUAACUGUAGACUUGCCAUUGAUACUGGCGCUCUUGAGUGCGCUUGAAGGGGGCGGAAUGUGCCGUGUAGCGGUGAAAUGCUUAGAUAUGGCACAGAACACCAAUUGCGAAGGCAGCUCACUAAGGCGAUACUGACGCUGAGGCACGAAAGCGUGGGGAUCGAACAGGAUUAGAUACCCUUGUAGUCC
rnacentral:rRNA from 1 species